GACGAACGCUGGCGGCGUGCAUAACACAUGCAAGUCAAGGGGGUCAGUAGCAAUACUGGCAACCGGCGAACGGGUGCGUAACACGUAAGCGACCUACCUCGAUGUGGGGCAUAGCCGGCCUAACGGCCGGGUAAUUCCGCAUAAGAUCCCGAUGAGGCAUCUCAUUGGGAUGAAACCAGUAAUGGGCGUCGAGAGGGGCUUGCGGCCUAUCAGCUAGUUGGUGAGGUAACGGCUCACCAAGGCUACGACGGGUAGCUGGUCUGAGAGGAUGGCCAGCCACAUUGGGACUGAGAUACGGCCCAGACUCCUACGGGAGGCAGCAGUGGGGAAUCUUGCGCAAUGGCCUAACGGCUGACGCAGCGACGCCGCGUGAGGGAUGAAGCUUUUCGGAGUGUAAACCUCUGUUGCCCGGGACGAAUAGCGGAUUAUUCCGACUUGACGGUACCGGGUGAGGAAGCACCGGCUAACUCCGUGC
rnacentral:rRNA from 1 species